UACGUAGGGGGCAAGCGUUAUCCGGAUUUACUGGGUGUAAAGGGAGCGUAGACGGCAUGGCAAGCCAGAUGUGAAAUACCGGGGCUCAACCCCGGGACUGCAUUUGGAACUGUUAAGCUGGAGUGUCGGAGAGGCAGGCGGAAUUCCUAGUGUAGCUGUGAAAUGCGUAGAUAUUAGGAGGAACACCAGUGGCGAAGGCGGCCUGCUGGACGAUAACUGACGUUGAGGCUCGAAAGCGUGGGGAGCAAACAGG
rnacentral:rRNA from 1 species